UACGUAGGGACCAAGCGUUGUUCGGAUUUUCUGGGCGUAAAGGGCGCGUAGGCGGCAAUUCAAGUCAGCUGUGAAAUCUCCGGGCUUAACUCGGAACGGUCAGCUGAUACUGCUUUGCUAGAGUGCAGAAGGGGCAAUCGGAAUUCUUGGUGUAGCGGUGAAAUGCGUAGAUAUCAAGAGGAACACCUGAGGUGAAGACGGGUUGCUGGGCUGACACUGACGCUGAGGCGCGAAAGCUAGGGUAGCAAACGGG
rnacentral:rRNA from 1 species